rnacentral:ncRNA from 1 species
UAAAAUGAGAGUUUGAUCCUGGCUCAGGACGAACGCUGGCGGCGUGCCUAAUACAUGCAAGUCGAACGCAUCCCGCUGAAUUGAAGUGCUUGCACUGAUUUUCAGCAUUGGAUGAGUGGCGAACUGGUGAGUAACACGUGGGUAACCUGCCCAGAAGCGGGGGA